GGGCGAAUGGCGGAAUUGGUAGACGCACCGCACUCAAAAUGCGGCGGGGCAGCCCCCCGUGUCGGUUCGAGUCCGACUCCGCCCA
rnacentral:tRNA from 2 species